rnacentral:rRNA from 1 species
UACAGAGGUCUCAAGCGUUGUUCGGAUUCAUUGGGCGUAAAGGGUGCGUAGGCGGCGCGGUAAGUCGGGUGUGAAAUCUCGGAGCUUAACUCCGAAACUGCAUUCGAUACUGCCGUCCUUGAGGACUGGAGAGGAGACUGGAAUUUACGGUGUAGCGGUGAAAUGCGUAGAUAUCGUAAGGAAGACCAGUGGCGAAGGCGGGUCUCUGGACAGUUCCUGACGCUGAGGCACGAAGGUCAGGGGAGCAAACGGG